GCGCGCGUAGCUCAGUUGGUUAGAGCGCCACCCUGAUAAGGUGGAGGUCCCUGGUUCGAGUCCAGGCGCGCGCA
rnacentral:tRNA from 3 species